UCAGCUCUUAACGGCUAAUAGGGGAACCACCCCGGCUAGCUUAACAUAAUAAUGGGAAAAAUUUCUAAACCUCGCCAGCCCACAACACCUCUGCUGAGAGAAAGGCUGUUUCAAGCUCGACUCUGACGGGAGGAGACCCAGGAAAUCCUCGCCUGUAAUCUGCUGAUCAGCAAACAGGGAAAACAUCCUACUCGACUUUGAAGAAAACGUGCUUUUGGUAAGACAGGUCAAAAUUCAGAACAUGGGGGCAGAUUCAGCCAAGAGCAAAUAAACCUUCUGUCCACUUUAAAAGGCGUGGCGGCUACCCAUCCAGUGGCUAUUCCAGAAAAAAGAACUCAAAAGCUUAUUAUUGUGGGUCAGAUUACAAUUCCCACACGCAGAAACAGAUCUGUUAUUUGAGCCAGGGUUUUGGCAGCAAAUUAAUUUCUUUAUGAUCUAGCAACUAAAAAAGAUAGAGUAGCCAUGAAGCUUUUAUCCCCAGCAAGGAUAACGCUUGAAGUCAUCUCUCGUGGAGCGGCAAAUGUUGCCAGCUACAGAGGGCGAUAUAAAGUUCCCCAGAGACUGGGGGAGGAUCUCCGUCCUGCCAGCAGCAUGCGGAGGGAUUUACGUCCAGCCAGCAGUAGACAACACUUGAUAAACAGGAAGAGCCUGAGCUCGGGAGGAGUCCCCCGGAUCCCCUGUUUCCCCUGGGUCACCAGAAUAUCCAGUUCCGGGAAAACUCAAGCUAGAAAUCUUCCCAAGCGAAUUGGAGAAUUUAGACCUCUGUUUCAUUAGCCUCCCAAAUACCUUUACUCCGAAGCGCGGGGGAGUGGCAAAAGCGAUUUGCGACGUUCCGGAGGCGAACGGGGGGGGCGCGGGGACUGCGGGGGAUGCCACGGGGACUGCGGGAGAUGCCGCGGGGACCGCGGGAGACGCGGCGGGAACAGCGCGCGAGAUCGCGAAAGCGGGCAGUAAGCAGCCGUCUGCGAUACGCCUGGCAGCGGCAGCGAUAGGAGCGAGCGUCCAGGCGGAGCGGGGCGCGCGGCAGCAAUGGCGGCGGGAUACAGCAGGCAUGAGCGGGGGAUGAGAAACACGGAGGUGCUUGCAGGACAAACGCCGGCCGCGGGUGUGGGCACGGAACAGCAGGGAGACAGCUCCAAUGAGAGCGAGGAGGGGACAUCGGGCUCAGAGGGGGAUGAAAACAGCGAUAAUGAGGGUGGUCACGAUGAGACAGGGAACAUUUCAGGGAGCGCGACAGCGCUGGACCAGGCAGAGAGGAGGCGUGAUCACGGCAAAGGCAGCUGCGCCCCCGGGGUGACGCGAGCUGAGACGGGGCGUGCUCAGGGGGAAGGCGUUUCCCCCAGCACCAUCACGUCGACGGCGUCUCGGUUCCCAUGGCAACAGUCACAGCCAGAGCAGGCAAUACAGCCCCAGUCUCUAUCAGGGUCUGAGGCUGAGAGUUUCUCACAAAAGUUACAAGAGUUGUGUGAAACACUCAAAAACCUUUCUGAGUCACAAGAAAGAAUUGGUAGCAAAAAUAUAUCAAAAAAGGCAAAAUCAAAAACUAGGUCCACCCCGGCAGGGCAGACGACAGCGCCACCUAGUGGCGGAAAUGUAACUGCAAGAUUUUUAUCCAAUUUCUUAUAAAAAGCAUUCCACUUCUAAGAAAAAAACCACAGGAAUCUCCUGCUGAGCAACAAGAUGACAUCGCAGCUUCAGAGGGUGUUCCAGCCUGGGCGGUUUACAACUGAUGCUAGCUCAUCCAGUCAAGGACAAUCAGUCAUGAUACCAAAAGAUCUCUUGUGUCGCUGAUUCUCACAGACACACAAGCAGUGGUGUGGGACAGCAGAUGGAGAGGAGCUCUCCAAGAGCUGAGGACCAAAUACCAAGGUGGGCCUAACACAACUCUCACCAUGACACUGUUAGCAGGCGAUCCUCCUGAGGACAACCCAGCUCAGCAAGUGAGGCUUCCACAAGAGGUGCUGAAUGACAUCAAAGAAGCUGCAAGAAAGGCAAUUCUACAAAUUGCACCAGCAGGCAUUUAGGAUACCAUCUACACAGACAUCAGGCAAGGUGUUUCUGAACCGUUUUCCUCAUUCACAGAUUGACUCACACAAGCCAUGGGCAGGCAGGUGACUGAUGAGGCAGCAAAACCACAUCUGCUCAAAAGCCUUGCAUUUGCCAAUGCCAACCAGGAAUGCAAACAAGUCAUCAGUGCAAUGCCAGGUCAGCCCUCUCUGGCAGAGAUGGUGGAAACGUGCAGCAAGGUGGGGACACCUCAGCAUGCGGCAUCCGUCGUAGAGGAACGACUGGAGGAACAAAUGGAGAAAAUGCUCCAGGUACAAAGUGAAAACCUCGAGAAGGUUCAUGCAAACUUUCAAAAACAUAACUACUCCCCUGGAGGACAGUGUUACAAAUGUGGGGGGUUUGGACAUUUCAAGAGGAACUGUCCUCAACUCACAAAGACUGGAAAGCCACCAGAUGUUUGCCCAAGAUGCAGGAGAGGAAAACACCUUGCAAGUGAGUGUCGCUCUCAGAUAGAUGUGGAAGGAAGACCCCUACCCCUUCCGGGAAACUCAAAAAAGAGCGCAAAUCGUGAGCGCGCAACGACACAAGUGAUGGCGAUGACACUGGGAACAACACCACAGACAGGACAAUCAUCGGGGAUCAUCAAUCAGAUUCCCUCAGCAGGGCAAUUGCUGGCAUCCCCAGUGACCCAGAAUUACUGCUGCCCGGAGCACAAUGCAUCCUGGCAGCUUCCAAAUUGAUAUGCUUCCUGAAUUAAAGUCAUGCAGUGAUACAUGCAGGUGUCACUGGGGCCUCCUGGAAAAGGUAGGAUUUUUUAAUAAUAGGCAAAGACAGAAGCAGCAUCUUUGGACUGAUCAUUUUUCCUACAAUCAUUUCAGCAGAUCGCAACGAAGAGCUGACAGUUUUAGCCAGAGCUCUUUGACCACCAUUAACUAUCCCAGAAAACACUCCAAUAGCCAAAGCUAUUGCUUUAUCACCUCAUCCAAUGGAACAAGUCAUGCCAGUGUUUGAUCCAGAGGAUCCUUCAUUCAACGACCAUGUGGAAAUUCACGCCUCGUGGGUGGAGCGCAUAGGUCGGGAUCGACCCAUCAUUUUCUGUCAACUGACAUGUGGUGACAAGACAAUCACCAUCAAGGGGAUGCUUGAUAUGGGGGCAGAUGUCACAGUCAUUUCAUAUAUUUUUUGGCCUCAGGAAUGGACUCUAGCAGUACCCUUGGCUUCAGUCACAGGCAUGGGGGAAGCUCUGUAUGUCUGCAAAGUAAAAAUGCAAUUGUUGUUAUACGACCAGGGGGAAAAACAGCAUUCAUUCGUCCUUUCAUUGUGCAAAAGCCCAUCACAAUAUGGGGGAAGGACCUUUCGGCACAAUGGGGCCUGAGACUGGAACUGGAUUUUUAGUGGGGGUCACUGUAGCACUCACCACUCCAAAACUGACCUAGAAGACAGAUAAACCCCUUUGGGUGGAUUAGUGGCCCCUGGAGCAAAAGAAAUUGAGUGCUCUGGAGAGUCUGGUCAAGGAACAGCUGCAAAAGGGACACAUUAAACCAACAAUUAGUUCCUGGAAUUUUCCAGUGUUUGUCAUUCAUAAGAAGACUUCAGGUUCAUGGAGAUUGAUUCAUGAUCAGAAAACUCAACGAGGUCAUCGAGGAAAUGGAACCACUUCAACUGGGACUUCCUUCUCUCACAAUGAUUCCGAGAGAUUGGCUACUUGUGAUCAUCAAUCUCAAGGACUGUUUUUUUAGCAUUCCGCUUCAUCCAGAUGAUGCCCAUCAACUAGCAUUCUCUGUUCCAAGUCUCAACUGGGAAGAACCUCUGGAAAGGUACCAUUGGGUGGUUUUACCACAAGGCCUCAAAAACUCACUGGCUAUUUGCCAGUGGUACGUGGCUCGAGCUUUGGCUCCAGCAAGGGAAAAAUAUCCAGAAGCGAAAAUCAUUCAUUACAUGGAUGAUUUACUCAUUGCAGCAUC